rnacentral:rRNA from 1 species
AUAGAGACUCAGAGCUGCAUAUCAAUAAGCGGAGGAAAAGAAACUAACUAGGAUUCCCUUAGUAACGGCGAGUGAAGCGGGAAGAGCUCAAAUUUGAAAUCUUCAAGGUUCUACCUUGACGAAUUGUAGUUUAAAGAAGUGUUUUCUGUUGGAGUUUUGGUAAAAGUUCUUUGGAAUAGGACAUCAUAGAGGGUGAGAAUCCCGUAUUUGACCAUUAUUUCCAACUUGCGUGAUACACUUUCAAAGAGUCGGAUUGUUUGGGAAUGCAGUCCAAAAUGGGUGGUAAAUUUCAUCUAAAGCUAAAUAUUGGCGAGAGACCGAUAGCGAACAAGUACCGUGAGGGAAAGAUGAAAAGAACUUUGAAAAGAGAGUUAAACAGUACGUGAAAUUGUCAAAAGGGAAGCGUUUGACACCAGUGUUGUUUUCUCGAAAAUCAAUUCAAUGAUGGCAUUGAUGCUAGGUUGUUAUGACUUUAUCAGCUUACUGUCUACUUUUUCUUGUCUUUUUUAAUGCACUUUUCGUUUAACAAGUCAACAUCAAUUUCUUUUGCUGUAAAAGGGUAAUAGGAAGGUGGCUUCAUCUUCGGUAGAAGUGUUUAUAGCCUUGUAGCCUCUGCAAUCGGAGAGAUUGAGGUCUGCAGCGUAGACUCUUCGGGGUUAGAUACAGUUUGUGCUAAGUUAUAGCUUUUCAUAGACAACUUGUUGACUAUGUUUAGUCUUGUAGCUUACUCGCUGAUGCUAUUUUACCUACGCUUAGGAUGUUGAUAGUCACAGCGUGUAC